AACCUGCCUUACACAGGGGGAUAACACUUAGAAAUAGGUGCUAAAACCGCAUAAGCGCACAGCUUCGCAUGAAGCGGUGUGAAAAACUCCGGUGGUGUAAGAUGGACCCGCGUCUGAUUAGCUUGUUGGCGGGGUAACGGCCCACCAAGGCGACGAUCAGUAGCCGGCCUGAGAGGGCGGACGGCCACAUUGGGACUGAGACACGGCCCAGACUCCUACGGGAGGCAGCAG
rnacentral:rRNA from 1 species